AGAAUAGCAUCCAAGUCAAGGGGGCACAGAUGCGUCAGAGCUGGGCAUGCAUGGGGAAAUUCCCCUCCUGGUCCUCGCCAUUGGAAAAUCGCUUGAGGGUGUUAGCCGGGACUUGGAGCUGCUGCCAGACCGCGUCGUCUCCUUACUCCCCUGAAGGAAGAGAAGAAGGAUCAUCAAUGGCAAGCGGCAGCUGCAACAAAACAACACUAUGAGCUGGCUGCAUGCUCAGGAAAGAAUGCCCGCCUCCUCCGUUUGGUUUCCAGUGCUCUAAACAUUCAGAGAAACUUCUCUAGUAUUGAAUGACAGAAAUGAGCCCUGAGAGUAGAGUCUUAGAAGACUUGAUUUUGUUAAGACAACAAUAUUCCCCAAAGCAAUAUGCAGAUUCAAUGCAAUCCCUAUCAAAGUCCCCAAAUCCCACAAAUUCCGUUUUGCUGAAGUAGAAAAGCUGACUCUGAAAUGUACAUAGAAUUGCAAGGGAUCCCAAAUAGUCAAAACAAUCUUGCAAAAAGAAGAACAAGGUGUUAAGACUCACAUUUGCCAAUUUCAAAACUUACUACAAAGCUACAGUAAUCAAAAUCAUGUACUACCAACAUAAGGAUAGUCAUGCAUAUAGAUCAAUGGAAUAGAAUUGACAAUCCAGAAAUAAACGUAUGCAACUAUGGUCAAUUGAUUUUCAACAA
rnacentral:lncRNA from 1 species